UACGAAGGGGGCUAGCGUUGUUCGGAAUCACUGGGCGUAAAGCGUAUGUAGGCGGAUCGUUAAGUCGGGGGUGAAAUCCCGAGGCUCAACCUCGGAACUGCCUUCGAUACUGGCGAUCUUCGAGUCCGGGAGAGGUGAGUGGAACUGCGAGUGUAGAGGUGAAAUUCGUAGAUAUUCGCAAGAACACCAGUGGCGAAGGCGGCUCACUGGCCCGAUACUGACGCUGAUGCACGAAAGCGUGGGGAGCAAACAGG
rnacentral:rRNA from 1 species